GGGGUAACCUUGCCCAUAAGACUGGGAUAACUCCGGGAAACCGGGGCUAAUACCGGAUAACAUUUUGAACCGCAUGGUUCGAAAUUGAAAGGCGGCUUCGGCUGUCACUUAUGGAUGGACCCGCGUCGCAUUAGCUAGUUGGUGAGGUAACGGCUCACCAAGGCAACGAUGCGUAGCCGACCUGAGAGGGUGAUCGGCCACACUGGGACUGAGACACGGCCCAGACUCCUACGGGAGGCAGCAGUAGGGAAUCUUCCGCAAUGGACGAAAGUCUGACGGAGCAACGCCGCGUGAGUGAUGAAGGCUUUCGGGUCGUAAAACUCUGUUGUUAGGGAAGAACAAGUGCUAGUUGAAUAAGCUGGCACCUUGACGGUACCUAACCAGAAAGCCACGGCUAACUACGUGCCAGCAGCCGCGGUAAUACGUAGGUGGCAAGCGUUAUCCGGAAUUAUUGGGCGUAAAGCGCGCGCAGGUGGUUUCUUAAGUCUGAU
rnacentral:rRNA from 2 species